rnacentral:rRNA from 1 species
UACGUAGGGGGCAAGCGUUGUCCGGAUUUAUUGGGCGUAAAGAGCUCGUAGGUGGUUCGGUAAGUCGGAUGUGAAAUCUCCAGGCUCAACCUGGAGGGGUCAUUCGAUACUGCCGUGACUAGAGGUCGGUAGGGGAGUGUGGAAUUCCUGGUGGAGCGGUGAAAUGCGCAGAUAUCAGGAGGAACACCCGUAGCGAAGGCGGCACUCUGGGCCGAUACUGACACUGAGAGACGAAAGCUAGGGGAGCAAAUGGG